GAUGAACGCUAGCGGCAGGCCUAACACAUGCAAGUCGAGGGGUAACAUUGGUGCUUGCACCAGAUGACGACCGGCGCACGGGUGCGUAACGCGUAUACAAUCUACCUUGUACUGGGGGAUAGCCUUUGGAAACGAAGAUUAAUACCCCAUAGUAUCCAUUAUCGGCAUCGUUUAUGGAUUAAAGGUUACGGUACAAGAUGAGUAUGCGUCCUAUUAGCUAGUUGGUAUGGUAACGGCAUACCAAGGCGACGAUAGGUAGGGGCCCUGAGAGGGGGAUCCCCCACACUGGUACUGAGACACGGACCAGACUCCUACGGGAGGCAGCAGUGAGGAAUAUUGGACAAUGGGGGCAACCCUGAUCCAGCCAUGCCGCGUGCAGGAAGACUGCCCUAUGGGUUGUAAACUGCUUUUAUACGGGAAGAAACACCUCCACGUGUGGAGGCUUGACGGUACCGUAAGAAUAAGGAUCGGCUAACUCCGUGCCAGCAGCCGCGGUAAU
rnacentral:rRNA from 1 species